UGGGGAAUUUUGGACAAUGGGGGAAACCCUGAUCCAGCCAUCCCGCGUGUGCGAUGAAGGCCUUCGGGUUGUAAAGCACUUUUGGCAGGAAAGAAACGUCAUGGGUUAAUACCCCGUGAAACUGACGGUACCUGCAGAAUAAGCACCGGCUAACUACGUGCCAGCAGCCGCGGUAAUACGUAGGGUGCAAGCGUUAAUCGGAAUUACUGGGCGUAAAGCGUGCGCAGGCGGUUCGGAAAGAAAGAUGUGAAAUCCCAGAGCUCAACUUUGGAACUGCAUUUUUAACUACCGGGCUAGAAUGUGUCAGAGGGAGGUGGAAUUCCGCGUGUAGCAGUGAAAUGCGUAGAUAUGCGGAGGAACACCGAUGGCGAAGGCAGCCUCCUGGGAUAACACUGACGCUCAUGCACGAAAGCGUGGGGAGCAAACAGG
rnacentral:rRNA from 1 species